rnacentral:rRNA from 1 species
AAGCCCACCUCAAGAUGAGAUUUCCCAUUUCUUUAAGAAAGUAAGAUCCCUGAGAGAUGAUCAGGUAGAUAGGUCAGGAGUGGAAGUACAGUGAUGUAUGGAGCGGACUGAUACUAAUCGAUCGAGGACUUAACCAAU